rnacentral:rRNA from 1 species
GGCCAGACUCCUACGGGAGGCAGCAGUGGGGAAUAUUGCACAAUGGGGGAAACCCUGAUGCAGCAACGCCGCGUGAGUGAAGAAGUCAUUCGUGAUGUAAAGCUCUAUCAGCAGGGAAGAAAAUGACGGUACCUGAGUAAGAAGCCCCGGCUAACUACGUGCCAGCAGCCGCGGUAAUACGUAGGGGGCAAGCGUUAUCCGGAUUUACUGGGUGUAAAGGGAGCGUAGACGGCUAGUCAAGUCAGAAGUGAAAGCCCAGGGCUCAACCUUGGGACUGCUUUUGAAACUGAGUAGCUAGAGUGCAGGAGAGGUAAGCGGAAUUCCUAGUGUAGCGGUGAAAUGCGUAGAUAUUAGGAGGAACACCAGUGGCGAAGGCGGCUUACUGGACUGUAACUGACGUUGAGGCUCGAAAGCGUGGGGAGCAAACAGGAUUAGAUACCCCAGUAUG